GGCGAGGCCGAGAGGCGUAGUCGAUGGGAAACAGGUUAAUAUUCCUGUACUUGGUGUUACUGCGAAGGGGGGACGGAGAAGGCUAUGUUGGCCGGGCGACGGUUGUCCCGGUUUAAGCGUGUAGGCUGGUUUUCCAGGCAAAUCCGGAAAAUCAAGGCUGAGGCGUGAUGACGAGGCACUACGGUGCUGAAGCAACAAAUGCCCUGCUUCCAGGAAAAGCCUCUAAGCAUCAGGUAACAUCAAAUCGUACCCCAAACCGACACAGGUGGUCAGGUAGAGAAUACCAAGGCGCUUGAGAGAACUCGGGUGAAGGAACUUGGCAAAAUGGUGCCGUAACUUCGGGAGAAGGCACGCUGAUAUGUAGGUGAAGCGACUUGCUCGUGGAGCUGAAAUCAGUCGAAGAUACCAGCUGGCUGCAACUGUUUAUUAAAAACACAGCACUGUGCAAACACGAAAGUGGACGUAUACGGUGUGACGCCUCCCCGGUGCCGGAAGGUUAAUUGAUGGGGUCAGCGCAAGCGAAGCUCUUGAUCGAAGCCCCGGUAAACGGCGGCCGUAACAAUAACGGUCCUAAGGUAGCGAAAUUCCUUGUCGGGUAAGUUCCGACCUGCACGAAUGGCGUAAUGAUGGCCAGGCUGUCUCCACCCGAGACUCAGUGAAAUUGAACUCGCUGUGAAGAUGCAGUGUACCCGCGGCAAGACGGAAAGACCCCGUGAACCUUUACUAUAGCUUGACACUGAACAUUGAGCCUUGAUGUGUAGGAUAGGUGGGAGGCUUUGAAGUGUGGACGCCAGUCUGCAUGGAGCCGACCUUGAAAUACCACCCUUUAAUGUUUGAUGUUCUAACGUGGACCCGUGAUCCGGGUUGCGGACAGUGUCUGGUGGGUAGUUUGACUGGGGCGGUCUCCUCCUAAAGAGUAGCGGAGGAGCACGAAGGUUGGCUAAUCCUGGUCGGACAUCAGGAGGUUAGUGCAAUGGCAUAAGCCAGCUUGACUGCGAGCGUGACGGCGCGAGCAGGUGCGAAAGCAGGUCAUAGUGAUCCGGUGGUUCUGAAUGGAAGGGCCAUCGCUCAACGGAUAAAAGGUACUCCGGGGAUAACAGGCUGAUACCGCCCAAGAGUUCAUAUCGACGGCGGUGUUUGGCACCUCGAUGUCGGCUCAUCACAUCCUGGAGCUGAAGUAGGUCCCAAGGGUAUGGCUGUUCGCCAUUUAAAGUGGUACGCGAGCUGGGUUUAGAACGUCGUGAGACAGUUCGGUCCCUAUCUGCCGUGGGCGCUGGAGAACUGAGGGGGGCUGCUCCUAGUACGAGAGGACCGGAGUGGACGCAUCACUGGUGUUCGGGUUGUCAUGCCAAUGGCACUGCCCGGUAGCUAAAUGCGGAAGAGAUAAGUGCUGAAAGCAUCUAAGCACGAAACUUGCCCCGAGAUGAGUUCUCCCUGACUCCUUGAGAGUCCUGAAGGAACGUUGAAGACACGACGUUGAUAGGCCGGGUGUGUAAGCGCAGCGAUGCGUUGAGCUAACCGGUACUAAUGAACCGUGAGGCUUAACC
rnacentral:rRNA from 1 species